UCUUGGUCAUUUAGAGGAAGUAAAAGUCGUAACAAGGUUUCCGUAGGUGAACCUGCGGAAGGAUCAUUAAAAAAGAUCGUACCCAGCAAUGGGUAUUCUUAAACCACUGUGAAACUACCCGUUGCUUCGGCGGCAUCCUCCAGGGGAGUCAGCCCGUCAGAAGCCCAACACAACCAUUUCUGUAAACUGCAGUCAGAAUUAUCAAGUUAAAUCGUUAAAACUUUCAACAACGGAUCUCUUGGUUCUCGCAUCGAUGAAGAACGCAGCGAAACGCGAUAGGUAAUGUGAAUUGCAGAAUUCAGUGAAUCAUCGAAUCUUUGAACGCACAUUGCGCCUCUUGGUAUUCCGAGGGGCAUGUCUGUUUGAGCGUCAGUACCAACUCCAUACUUCUCUUUUGACGAAUGGGUGUUGAGAAACGUCGGCAACGGCUUUCUCUAAUGUUGCACGCUUGCGGACUCAUGAUCUGACCGGACGUAGUAAACUUUUCUCGUUCUCGACGUGAUUGGGUUCUGCCUGAAACCUCAAACUUUUGCAGUUUGACCUCAGAUCAGACAAGGAUACCCGCUGAACUUAAGCAUAUCAAUAAGCGGAGGAAAAGAAACCAACAGGGAUUGCCUCAGUAACGGCGAGUGAAGCGGCAAGAGCUCAAAUUUGAAAUCUGACGUCUUUGGCGUUCGAGUUGUAAUUUGAAGAGGAAUCUUCGGUUGGGACCAUGAUCUAUGUUCCUUGGAACAGGACGUCGUAGAGGGUGAGAAUCCCGUACACGGUUGAUGGUCUCCUUCCAUGUGAAGUUCCCUCGAAGAGUCGAGUUGUUUGGGAAUGCAGCUCUAAAAGGGUGGUAAAUUUCAUCUAAAGCUAAAUACAGGCGAGAGACCGAUAGCGCACAAGUAGAGUGAUCGAAAGAUGAAAAGCACUUUGAAAAGAGAGUUAAACAGUACGUGAAAUUGUUGAAAGGGAAGCGCUUGCAAUCAGACUUGUCUUCAGUUGAUCAACGUUCCUUCUGGUUCGUGCACUCAGCUUUCGACAGGCCAGCAUCGGUCUGGGCGGCGGGACAAAGACUUUGGGAAUGUGGCUCUCUUCGGGGAGUGUUAUAGCCCGUUGUGYAAUGCCGCCUGUCCGGACCGAGGACCGCGCUUCGGCUAGGAUGCUGGCGUAAUGGUUGUAAGCGACCCGUCUUGAAACACGGACCAAGGAGUCUAACAUCUAUGCGAGUGUUUGGGUGUCAAACCCAUACGCGUAAUGAAAGUGAACGGAGGUGGGAGCCCGCAAGGGUGCACCAUCGACCGGUCCUGAUGUCUUCGGAUGGAUCUGAGUAGGAGCAUAGCUGUUGGGACCCGAAAGAUGGUGAACUAUGCCUGAAUAGGGUGAAGCCAGAGGAAACUCUGGUGGAGGCUCGCAGCGGUUCUGACGUGCAAAUCGAUCGUCAAAUUUGGGUAUAGGGGCGAAAGACUAAUC
rnacentral:rRNA from 1 species